rnacentral:tRNA from 1 species
GCCGGGAUGAUCCUCGGUGGUCCGGGGUGCAGGCUUCAAACCUGUAGCCGAUUGACGUCGGAGUGGUUCGAUUCCACCUUCUCGGC